ACCUGGCGGAGCAAGACCGCGUGGGGGAGGAAGGUUCUUGGAUUGUCAACCCUUUUCUCAAGGAAGAACAAAAUGACGGUACUUGAGGAAUAAGCAUCGGCUAACUCCGUGCCAGCAGCCGCGGUAAUACGGAGGAUGCAAGCGUUAUCCGGAAUGAUUGGGCGUAAAGAGUCCGUAGGUGGCUUUUCAAGUCUAUUGUUAAAGCGCGAGGCUUAACCUCGUUCAGGCCGUAGAAACUGAAAAGCUUGAGAGCAGUAGGGGCAGAAGGAAUUCCUGGUGUAGCGGUGAAAUGCGUAGAGAUCAGGAAGAACACCGGUGGCGAAAGCGUUCUGCUGGGCUGCAUUCUGACACUGAGGGACGAAAGCUAGGGGAGCGAAUGGGAUUAGAUACCCCAGUAGUCCUAGCCGUAAACGAUGGAUACUAGGUGUUGUGAGUAUCGACCCUCACAGUGCCGAAGCCAACGCAUCAAGUAUCCCGCCUGGGGAGUACGCACGCAAGUGUG
rnacentral:rRNA from 1 species